rnacentral:sRNA from 1 species
AGUCAAGAGUCUUUGGCGCCGUUUGGUGAGUGUUUUUCUGUUGCCUUUGGAAAGGUGAAGGAAAAUG